UACCUGCAGCUCGAGUGGUAACCGCUAUUAUUGGGCCUAAAGCGUCCGUAGCCGGUUUGGUAAAUAUCUGGGUAAAUCGUGAGGCUUAACUUCACGAAUUUCGGAUAGACUGCCAGACUUGGGAUCGGGGGAGGUCAGAGGUACUCCAGGGGUAGCGGUGAAAUGUUGUAAUCCUUGGAGGACCACCGGUAGCGAAGGCGUCUGACUAGAACGAGUCCGACGGUGAGGGACGAAGCCCUGGGGCGCAAACCGGAUUAGAUACCCGGGUAGUCCAGGGUGUAAACGAUGUGGGCUUUGUAUUGGAGGUCCCACGUGGGCGUCCAGUGCAGAAGAGAAGUUGUUAAGCCCACCGACCUGGGAAGUACGGUCGCAAGGCUGAAACUUAAAGGAAUUGGCGGGGAGCACAGCAACGGGAGGAGCGUGCGGUUU
rnacentral:rRNA from 1 species